UAUUUAUUUACUUCCUCUACAGUUUUCCUGACUGCUACAUUUCAUGAGAAGGGAUUGUUUAUGAGGGUCAAGGAGCUGGAGGCCUGGGGAGGAGCUGGUGUUUCUGUUCAAGUUUGAGGGUCCUGGAGCUGGAGUCCAGGGGAGGAGCCGGUGCUGCCACUGAUGUCUUAGGGUCGUGGAGCUGAAGAUCCCAGAGGAGCCGGUGCUGCUAUUCUAGCUUGAGUUUCGUGGAGCUGGAGACCCAGGGAGAAGAUGGUGCUGCUGUUCUAAUUUAAGGAUCGUGAAACAGAAGACCCAGAAAGGAGCUGGUGCUGCCGCUGCUCAGAUCUGAGGGUGUUGGAGCUGGAGACUUAGGGAGGAGACGUCUUGUUCUAGUUUCAGGGUCGUGGAGCUGCAGACUGAGGCAGGAGCAUUGUUGUUAUAGUUCGAGGGUCAGAAAGCUGGCGACCCAGGGAGGAGAGGUCUUGUUCUGGUCUGAGGGUCGUGGAGCUGCAGACCCAGGGAGGAGCAAUUUUGUUGUAGUUCGAGGGUCAGGAAGCUGGCGACCCAGGGAGAGGUCUUGUUGGAGUUUGAGGGUCGUGGAGCUGCCAACCCAGGGAGGAGCAAUUUUGUUGUAGUUCAAGGGUCCGGAAGCUGGCGACCCAGGGAGGAGAGGUCUUGAUCCGGUCUGAGGGUCGUGGAGCUACAGACCCAGGGUGGAGCAAUGUUGUUGUAGUUCGAGGGUCUGGUAGCUGGCAACUUGGGGAAGACAAGUCUUGUUCGAGUUCGAGGGUCGUGGAGCUGCAGACCCAGGGAGGAGCCAUUUUGUUGUAGUUCAAGGGUCCGGAAACUGGCGACCCAGGGAGGAGAGGUCUUGUUCUAGUUUCAGGGUCGUGGAGCUUCUGACCCAGGGAGGAGCAUUGUUGUUUUAGUUCGAGGGUCAGGAAGCUGGCGACCCAGGGAGGAGAGGUCUUGUUCUGGUUUGAGGGUCGUGGAGCCGCAGACCCAGGGAGGAGCAAUGUUGAUGUAAGUUGAAGGUCCGGUAGCUGGCACCCUGGGGAGGAGAAGUCUUGUUCGAGUUUGAGGGUCGUGGAGCUGCCGACCCAGGGAGGAGCAAUUUUGUUGUCGUUCGAGUGUCAGGAAGCUGGCGACUCAGGUAGGAGAAAUUUUGUUCUAGUUUCAGGGUUGUGGAGCUGCAGACCCAGGGAGGAGCAAGGUUGUUGUAAUUCGAGGGUCAGGAAGCUGGCGACCCAGGGAGGAGAGGUCUUGUUCUGGUCUGAGGGUCAUGGACCUGCAGACCCAGGGAGGAGCAGUGUUGUUGUAGUUUGAAGGUCAGGAAGCUGGCGGCCCAGGGAGGAGAGGUCUUGUUCUAGUUUGAGGGUCGUGGAGCUGCAGACCCAGGGAGGAGCCAUGUUGGUUUGAAUGUUGUGGAUCUGGAGAUCCACGGAGGAGCUGGUGCUGCCUUUGAAGUCUGAGAGUCACUGAGCUGGAGAUCCAGAGAGGAACCGGUGUUGCUGUUCUAGUCUGAACAGAUCUAGAGUUCUGGGGAGUUGCCGGUUCUGCCUCUCAAGUCUGAGAGUUGUUGAGCUGGAGAUUCAGGGAGGAGCCUGUGUUGCUGUUGUAGUUUGAGGGUCAUGGAGCUGCAGACUCAGGGAGGAGGGGUGCGGUUCUAGUCUGAGGGUUGUGGAGCUUGAGACACAGGGAGGAGCUGGUGCUGCUGUUGUUUAAGGCUGAGGGUUGUGGUGCUGGAGACCCAGGUAAGAGCUGGUGCUGCUGUUGUUUAAGGCUGAGGGUUGUGUAGCUGGACAGUGGGGAGGAGGUAGUCUUAGUGUCUAAUGUGAGGUUGGUGGAGCUGUGGACCUGGGGUGGGGCCGGUGCUACUGUGUAGUUUGAGGGUCAUGGAACUGGAGACCUAGGGAGGAGCUGGUGCUACCACCAUUUAAGUCAGAGGGUCAUGGAUCUGGAGCUUUGGGGAACAGCCCAUGCUGCUGUUUAACUGUGGGGAGGAUGUGCUGUGUCCAUUGAAGUUUGAGGGUUUGGGAGCUGGAGACCCAGGGAGGAGCUGAUGAUGCCAUUCUAUUUUGAGGGUCGUGGAUCUGGGGACCUGGGGAGAGGCUGGUACUGCUGUUGUAGUUUGAGGUUCGUGGAACUGGAGACAGGGGGAGGAGCCGGUGGUGCUGUUCAUGUCUGAGGGUUGUAGAGCUGGAGACCCAGGGAGAAGCCCGUACUACAGCU
rnacentral:lncRNA from 1 species